AGCCGGUCUCAUGGUUUCUCCCGAGGACUUAGCUUCGUCGGCUCCGGCCGGCGAAGCUUUUUGUUUGUGCU
rnacentral:sRNA from 1 species